rnacentral:rRNA from 1 species
GUAGUCAUAUGCUUGUCUCAAAGAUUAAGCCAUGCAUGUCUAAGUAUAAGCAAUUAUACCGCGAAACUGCGAAUGGCUCAUUAUAUAAGUUAUCGUUUAUUUGAUAGUACCUUACUACUUGGAUAACCGUGGUAAUUCUAGAGCUAAUACAUGCUAAAAAUCCCGACUUCGGAAGGGAUGUAUUUAUUAGAUUAAAAACCAAUGCCCUUCGGGGCUCACUGGUGAUUCAUGAUAACUCCUCGAAUCGCAUGGCCUUGUGCCGGCGAUGGUUCAUUCAAAUUUCUUCCCUAUCAACUUUCGAUGUUUGGGUAUUGGCCAAACAUGGUUGCAACGGGUAACGGAGGGUUAGGGCUCGACCCCGGAGAAGGAGCCUGAGAAACGGCUACUACAUCCAAGGAAGGCAGCAGGCGCGCAAAUUACCCAAUCCCGACACGGGGAGGUAGUGACAAUAAAUACUGAUACAGGGCUCUUUUGGGUCUUGUAAUUGGAAUGAGUACAAUUUAAAUA